GAUGGCGCGCACGCUGACCGUCGACUCCUGCUCAUCUAGCAGGUCGGCCUCGCCGAAGUAUUCGCCGUCGCCCAAAAGCGCAAUCCGCAGGUCCUCGCCGUGAGGGCCUUUGCUGAUGACCUCAGCCUGACCGCUGGCCACGAUGAAGAAGCGCUGCUUGUCCUUGCCUUCUUCUACGAAGAGUUUAUCGACGUCCACCUCCUUAGCUUCAAAAGAACUGACUAGGCGGUUCAGUAUCUCGUCGUCGAACUCGGAGAACAGAGGAAUAGCUUUGAGGUUCUUCGCUGUAAAAGAUGGUACGCCGUUGACGUAUUGGAUGGGCAGGCGGUCGUUUUUGCGAAGUUCAACCUUCGUGCGGUUCACGCGGAACGUGCCGCCGCUGACUUGUACCCAAGGUAAAAGCUUCAAGAGUAAUCUCGGAGUGAUGGAACCCAUCUGCGGGGCGGUCUUGGUGGUGGUCGCCAGUCUUCUGGCGGUAGCAGU
rnacentral:antisense_RNA from 1 species